GGCCCUGGCCCAGGCGCUGCGCUCCGUCCUCCUACCAGGAGGGAGCCCUGUGAGAGAAGAGACCAGCUAUGCUGCUUGUGACUGGGCCUGGCACCAACAGCCACCCCAUGGAGAGUGCACGGCAAUGGCUCCUUCUUCCUACUACCUUCGUUUCUAAGGUCUUCUACAGUUGCAAUGAGAAAAGUAGGUAGAACUAACUCUGUUUUAAAAUAAAUGCUACCUCGUUCCUUCUGGUUGGAUAAGAAGAAGUGAUCAUUUCAGAACCAAACAUGUCAGAACCAACCAGGUGGUGCAGAACUGCACUUCUUGCUGCCCGAGUUACCUAGAGGUGGCCUUGAGACCUUCCUUCUGAGUGUCACAGCCCAGGCCAAGGUCGUCCCCACUGCCUCCCUCCUGGCAGCCAGUCAUCAACUCUUGCAGAACAAGCACAAGAUUGAACAAGCACAAGGAGCACCCACUCUUGGCCCUGCAUCCCGAAGGACCCUCAGAGGUUUGGACAGGGCAGCAGGCUAUCUGGGCAGUGCUGGUCACAUCUUCUCCCUAAGAAGCCGCUGGCCUCAACUUCAGGAGAGCUCACUUGGAACGCUGGAUGCUGUCAGGCAGGGGCUGCAGACACACGAAGUGCUUAGAGGGCAGGGUUCUUGGGAAUCCGGGAUUCGCUUCUGUCUCGGUACUAAUGUUUAGGCCAGAAAUGCCAACACAGCUGUGACUACUGACCCUACAACCUGCAGCAGUGAAUGCUCUUGCCCUUGCUGUACAUGUGUGAAAAUAAGCAGGAGGACAGAAGCUCACCCGAGGCCACCAGCUAGUAGGUAGCAGAGCCAUAGCGUCCAGAGCAUCUUAAUUUAACAGCUUUAGGGACAGAGCCCACCAACACGGCCUUCGCCAUUUGCCUUCAUAGCUCCUGCCAUGCCCAUUACUCCAGAGUCGCAGUGCUCAGAUGCUCAAGAAACAGUCCUGGCUGAUAACGGAUCCCCAACCACUCCCUGUGCACUCAGUGGUCUCCAAAGAGCUGGGAUUUUUUUUACUCAGCAAAAUUUUGUCAGCAUCAUUCCACAUUAAUAAAUAAGCCUUACUGUUACAAUUUUAGUGGCUGCCCGUAUUGUCUAAGUGUGAUGUAUGUAAGUUGCACAGCUUACUGGUUCCCUCUCCCAAACUCAAUCCUGGAUAAGCUAAGGAAGAGGGAUGGAAGCAACAACCGAGGAGUAAACAUGAGGAAAUGUGUUGAGAACCAACCCUCUGGGAGGCAGAACCUGUGUGGCUACAGAGCCUGGAGCCAGGGCUGCUGUCUCUAAACAGGAAAGACAGAAGAACUUCUAGAGUUCAUGCCAACUGCUCAUUAUGGGUGCAGUCUCAGGCCUCAGUUAUGAUAUCUGUUAGCCAGAAUUAAUACAAGAACAUAGGGCUUAUCAUUUUCUGUUGCUACAGAAAGGAACUGGUGAUGUUUAAUUUUCCCAAGAGUAUGGAACUAACAUAGGAUGAGAAAAAUAGGCCAAAGGGAGAGAGCUUCUGUUUUCUCACCUGCAGAGAUGGGAGCACCAAGCCUAGCCUGACAGAUCACUGGGCCAGUUCCCAGAGAAAGCCCUCACAAUGAGCAGUUCCACACUUUCCUUGUACUGCCCUUCCUUCUUCAGGAAGCACCAUAUUUUCCCAUCAACUAGAAGGUAUCUUUCUGGCCUCUGAACUCCAAAGAGUGUAUCAGACACAGCUGCUGCCCCAGAGGAGUUGACAAGGCAACACAUGGUAAGAGCUGCAGCCUGAAGAAUAAAACAUGUCACAUGUCCCCAGAUUGAGAAGGGGUGAAGGGAGAGCCUGGCUGGGAUCAGAGAUAGUGGAGAUGUACAAGUGUGUAAUAGAGGAGUGCCUUGAAAAGUAAACACACCACAAAAUGUUUAUUUUUAAAGAAUAAAUAAAUGGCAAAGGAAACGCAGGAAAGGAAAGAUUUACAAAAUCCAAGUCACUAAAGUGCUUUCAAUCACAAAUUUUGAAAGACCAAAAGCCUGGUCUGACCUAAAAACACUGUUUCCAGCUAUCCAACAAUUGUUUAAAUAUGAUCCCAUGCUAUUUUUAAAGGAAAUGCAGAAACGACUAGAGUAUGGGUUUCUUUGAAUUCCAAUAUGCAUAGCCUAUCAAGUGACACUCAAGAAAACACAAAAUUACUCCCUAACAAGAAAAUUGAAAUAUCCAAGGCCAAGUUCAAGGUAAAGACAAUAUAAUUCAUUCAUGUGUCUGUAUGGAGUCUUCACUAUGAUGAUAUCAGAUUCUUCUGGAUAUUAAACAAUUUUAUAUUUCCUAAUUGAGAAUGAGGACAUCAGACCUAACCUAUUCAUCUAUACAGUACAUUGAACCACACAUCUCAAAUGAUGCCCAGCAGUGAAAUCAUUUUUGAACUUCGGAUCCUCCCUGCUCAAGCUACAAAAGAGAAUCAAAAGUUUUGCACCAAGUUAACUGGUUAAAGUGCCAUUAAGGAACCGUUUCCAUUCUAGAAUGAAAUAGAAUUUUCCCUAGGUCACUCAUCUGUCCUCUUAAAGCAAGUGGCAUUGCAUUUUAUCUUGACAUUGUCAGAAGAAAAUCAAACUGAGAGUAUAUGUCUUGGACAAUUUUUGUCUUUUGGAAAAUGCCAGUGAGGAAUAUGCACAUUUUCAGCCUUUGACAGUGGGACCUGUGGGUCUCAUGUGGCUCCCACCUUCCCUGGCUGGGGCCCCUCCAGUGCCGUGGAGUUGGAGCCUCCUUGAGCACCAGCCCCAGGGUGCACUUUCUUGGUCUCCUGCCGGGCAGAGCUGGAGAGGUCAAUAGCCACAUCUUCCAAGCCAUUCUCAGGGCUCACUUUAUCUGAGCCUCUCUGUGAUCCUGAC
rnacentral:lncRNA from 1 species